AUGGCCUUGCUCACAAUGCUCGCAUUGUGGACAAUAUGGAAUGAAAGGAACGCAAGAGUCUUCCAUCACAAGAUCACCCCACCGAUGAUCCUUCUUGAGAAUAUAAAGAAUGAAGCCACAAAUCAUCCUGGCAAUUAUCUUUUGACGAUACCAAAGAGACCACAUAAAUCAUAA
rnacentral:rRNA from 1 species